UAGCGCGCAAGUCUUUUGAUGUCCAUGAUGCCCUUUCACUGUCGCUGUCAUUCUAAUAGUACUAAUUACCUGUUGCAUGUUGAUAUUUAACGGGAGUUCUGUCUACCCUAAGUGAUGAUUAUUAGUGAGAACUCGGAACACUAAAUCCCCUCAGGCGGCUGCCCCAUGACAUCACAUGGUAUGCGAAUUACUUUUCAAAGCGUCGUUUGAGAGGCAAGAACUUCCUAAAUAGGAAGUCUGGUCAUCGCUCUCUGUAUUUUGGUCCGUGUUGAUAGUUUCAGGGCUAAUAUCUUAAUCUUUUGGAGAUAAAAGGAACAAGACAGACCAUUUACUGAGAUAUGAAAACUCUUAGACAGUCUCUGUGGCCUCAUCACUACUGACUUGUGGUGCCUAGUCUCAUCGCUCACCAUGACCCCAACCGGCCAGGCCGAGGAGUGAGACAGCCAUGUCUGAUUCUACCUUGUUCAGAGCCACCAGAAUACUCUGCAGAAGUAUAUCUAGUGACAUGGAGGAGUCUGAGGCCAAGGGCAGAGGAGGAACUGUCCCCAUGAGGAAGUGUUCAGACAGGAGGGGUUCUGAUUGGGGAAGCAUCACCAUGCUGGAUAAGACCAAGGAAUUCUUCCAGACCUGCGAUGUGGAGGGCAAAGGCUUCAUCACACGCACCGAUAUGAGGAGGCUUCACAGAGAACUACCCCUCACUGCUGAAGAACUGGAGAAUGUCUUUGACUCCCUGGAUACUGACCAGAAUGGCUAUCUCACCCUCGAAGUGUUCUCAUCAGGAUUCAGUCAGUUCCUGCACGGCCGGAGGAUCUCUGUAGCCGAGGACGCAGCACGCGUCCUCCCCACUUCGAGGAAGCCCUCAGAAGCCCUAUACCAGAGCCAAUGGGAUGAGAGGUUGACUGGAGGGUGGGAGGAUGAGGAGGAGGAGAGUCACUUCUGUAUGCUGCUGGAGAGCCUAGGGGCCAGCAACGUGUUCCAGGAUCCAGGUGAGGUGCGCAGCUUGUGGGCCCAGCUGAGGAGGGACGAGCCUCACCUCCUGUCGAACUUUGAGGAGUUCCUGGCCAGAGUCACCUACCAGAUCAAAGAGGCCAAAGAGGAGAGGAGGGAGAUGGAGAGCGCCCUCCAGAGGAAAGCAGCCACACACGACAUUGAGAUCCGCGGUCUGUAUGAAGAAAUGGAGCAACAAAUGAAAAGCGAGAAGGACCGGCUGCUCCUCCAGGACUCAGAGCGUCUCCAGUCUCGUAGUCACGACCUGGAGCACCAGCUGUCCAGUAAGGAGAGAGAGCUGGAGCAGCUCUUCCAGAAACAGAGGCGGUUGGAUCUCCAGUGUCGCGACCUGAGCAGUGAGCAACAGGAGAGCCGGGUGGAGAAUGUCAAGCUGAAAAUGACCAAUGAGGAACUGAGCAGAGAGCUGGAGAGCACCUGUCAGGAACUGUCCUUGGCCCAGGAACAACUGACCAUGCUGCAGGACCAGGCUUCCCGCCUGCACCAGGAGAGAGAGAUGGAAAUGUACCGAGUCACUGAGGGACUACAGAGAGAGAAACAGAGCCUGAUGAAACAACUAGACCUUCUCAGAGAGAUGAACAAACAUUUAAAAGAUGAGCGAGACAUAUACUGUGCUGUGAACCCCAGGAACUCCCCCAAACAGAAGCAGAGAGCAGGAUUGGUCAAUCUGUUUGCGGACACCAGCCAGCAGCCGGUUAAAAGAGCCUCACUCCUCACCCACAAUGGGGGUUCCUAUGAGUUCCUUGAUGCGCUGCCAGUAGAACACCUUCAAAUCUCUUUUGUCUCCUCCCCCUCCUCAUCUAGCGAGGACGAUGUUGACACCGCUUGUCCACCACGUUCGCCGAAAACCAACUACGGCCUGGCCAACGGCUACCACGACUCCAACACCUCGUCUCCAACCCAAGUGGUUGAGGUGGAGGCACAGGGGGUGAGGGUGAAGGAGAGGCUCUCCAAGUUUGAGUCAGAGAAGACCCUCGCCCCCACCCAGAACGAAAGGGACAGGCAUACAGAGUGCCAGAGUAAGCCGGAGGUUGGGGGCGACGGCCUGGACGGUCCCCCAGAUGGGUGGCCUCUCCGUCGGGUUAUCUCCAUCGAGGAGGACCACCUCCCCCACCUGCUUCAUGGAGGGCCCCAGCCCCUGCUGCACCAGCUCAGUGAGAAAGACGACGAGGAGGAAGAGGAGCAAGAGAAGGAAGAUCUGGAGAGUAGUAGCCCCUUCGCCCCUGUUCCUCUACCCAUCCCGGUCACGACAGUGUCCCCCUUCAAACACAGAGGUAGUUUCAGCAGAAUCAGAAAUAUCCCCUCGUCACCUCGAGGACAGCCCGUUGGCAAGGAGACCCAAAAUAGGGUGAAGGAGAGGGCCGUGCCUGCCCCGGACCGCCUGUUUAAGGUGGUUCUGGUGGGAAACUCCAGCGUGGGCAAGACUUCCCUGCUGCGCACCUUCUGUGACGGCCGCUUCCACCCCUCCAGCCCCGCUACUGUGGGUAUUGACUACAGUGUGAAGACUCUAAUGUUGGACAACACCCAGGUAGCCAUGCAGCUGUGGGACACGGCCGGGCAGGAGAGGUACCGCAGCAUCACCAAGCAGUUCUUCCGUAAGGCAGACGGCGUGGUGGUCAUGUACGACGUCACGUUCCUGGACAGCUUCAAGGCCGUGCGACCCUGGCUCAUCAACGUCCAGGAAGCUGCGGGAGUGGGCAUUCCCAUCCUGCUCCUGGGCAACAAGAUGGACGCGACGUCCGAGAGGGAGGUACCACUUAAAGAUGCAGAGACUCUGGCCCAUGACACCCGUGUGAUAUUCUAUGAGGUCAGUGCUUAUACCGGCUACAACGUGACAGAGGCCAUGAUCCACCUGGCCAGGUAAGGGAGGGAGAGGGACAGCCCCUAGGUAUCCAGAUCUGAAUGAAUUGGACAGAGUGCUGAAAGAGCAGGAGGAUCAGGUGAGAGACACGUUUGUCUUACUGGAGGCCCUGCCCAUCAAGAAGAAAGCCUGCUGCAAGUAAAGACACUCUGACAGAACAGAGAGAGAGCAUUUGGAAUGGCUGGAGACUCCUGAUAACAAGUGAAGGAACUCUUCAAUCUAACUCUUUCUCUGUGCUCUCGGAGCCAAAUCUUAACUUUGUGUACAUUUGUUAAUCAAUGUCUCAAAUUAGGACGGCCAUUCUUUCAGUACCUGUUUUGUUAAAAGCAAAGAGCCCAGUUGAGCUGGAUCAUAGUGGAUUUAGCUCUAGUCUACAUUACAACCCUUUGUCUGUGUUAUUUGGAUCUCCUGACUGUUAUGAGCAAUAGACAUGUUCUACUGUAGAACUAAUGGUAUAUUUUGUCAAUUUAAAAAGUGGAUAUUAUUUCAAUGUAUAGAAUGAAUGUUUUUCUUUGGUUGUGAUUAUGUUGUUAAUCAAAACACAGAAUGGAUAUGUAAAUAAGAGCUUGAUUAAGUUGUUAGUCUGUUACAACAUAAGCACAACAAAAUAAUGAUUGCCAUAAAUUGAUUAAAAUACUGAUGUGAAAUGUAA